rnacentral:lncRNA from 1 species
AUUGAAAGAGAAAUUUCUCCCCCUGAGAGGGUCUCUGAAGAUAGCUAUCUUUGACAUUGAUGCAUCUCCCUCUUGGCCAGAAGCCACAGAGAUGGGUCCCCCUCAUGUUAGAUCAUUAAUUGUUCAUCUCCAGGUUUGCACGCACUAAGCUGAGAACCGAGGCAAUUAUGCAAUUAAGUCAAGCAAAAAACGAUGCUUGUGCUCCACUGAGCCACAAUUUUAGUUGACAGUUGCUUUGACUUGACUUGUCCUGAUAAUUGCUUCAAGUCCUACAUGACCCUCUGACAGAAAGUGUGAGCUCCUUUGGAGAGUGUGUGAUUUGCGGGGGACAGUUCCACCAUCUUCUUCCAGAAAAGUGGGGAAUGGAUACUGAUAUGUUUCAUUGACGUCAAAUACAACCCGUGUUAGUUGGGAUUUGCCCAGAGGCUGAUCCUAAGACAAGAUCCCAAAUCCAUUGGAUUAUCCCGGAAGUGAUUCCGGGAAGUGUUGGUUGAGGGAUGAGGGUGUAAGACCGCAAGUUACCUCUGCGGGUAACGAGCUUACCCCCACGGGGCACAUCUAAGAACCAGUGUAGGCACCCUGCUCAGAAUUCCUGCCUGAGGGAGAUACACAGACCCCCCAGUGGUCACUGUUCAGGGCCUUUACCGGAGGCAUUAGCCCUUUAGCACUUGGGGCACAGUGGGCUCCAGCUUACAGGGAAAGCCAUCGGGCAAAGGCAGAUGUUGGCCUGUGAAGUCUGGCCGGCAGGCUCCGCAAAGAGGAGUCCCAAAGGGAACAGACGGGGCACCAGCUCUACGUCCAGACCUCCUCAAGCCAAAAACCCUCACUUUUUGCCCCUCCAGAUCUAGCUCCACCUUUCUUUUAUUCUCUGCUUUCAGAACAAGUUCUGAUGUUCGGACCUGACCUUGACGAGCGUGCACCUUGUCAUUCUCCUGGAGAAGAUUACUUGUACAGCUCAGUAUGGCGUCAUGGAGCAAUCACCAGCACGGCAGUCAGAGAAGACGGCGUUUGAAUCUUGCCUCCAGCACCCAUGAGCUAUGUGCUGGUAGACAUGUAAUGAAGUCACGCCUCAGUCCGUCCAUUAAAAAUUAAAGGUAAGGAUGGCCACCAAAGGU